AACGAACGCUGGCGGCAGGCUUAACACAUGCAAGUCGAACGCAUCCUUCGGGGUGAGUGGCAGACGGGUGAGUAACGCGUGGGAACGUGUCCUUCAGUUCGGGAUAACCCAGGGAAACUUGGGCUAAUACCGGAUACGUGCGAGAGCAGAAAGAUUUAUCGCUGAAGGAUAGGCCCGCGUCUGAUUAGCGAGUUGGUGGGGUAAUGGCCCACCAAGGCGACGAUCAGUAGCUGGUCUGAGAGGAUGAUCAGGCACAUUGGGACUGAGACACGGCCCAAACUCCUGCGGGAGGCAGCAGUGGGGAAUAUUGGACAAUGGGCGCAAGCCUGAUCCAGCCAUGCCGCGUGAGUGAUGAAGGCCUUAGGGUUGUAAAGCUCUUUCGUCCGGGACGAUAAUGACGGUACCGGAAGAAGAAGCCCCGGCUAACUUCGUGCCAGCAGCCGCCGUAA
rnacentral:rRNA from 1 species